GGGAGGAGCGGGUCGAGGAUGGGGAAUCCUCGUUAAUCCGGCUCCAAAACAAUAAUCGUCAAUAACGAUUACGCACUCGCUGCUUAAGUAAGCGGCGCGCUCUCUAAAGCUUCCGUCAUCGGGCUUUAGAAGAGUGUCACAAAGAUGGCUGGGACAUCUUCAGCGCUUUCUGGGAGAGGUUCGAGACUCUAGGGAAGGCUGGGAAAUGCGGAUCCUGUCUUUGGGAGCCGCAGAUCCGAGAUCAAAUCAGAGACUACACUCGUAGUGCCUCCC
rnacentral:tmRNA from 1 species